rnacentral:tRNA from 1 species
GGACAUAUAAACCGUUAAGGAGACGGGGCAAACUGUAAAUUAGUUGUAGUAUUCGAGUGGGUUCGAUUCCCUCUAUGUCCA